UAUGUGAUGGGACUUGCCCAUAUAUGAACAGAGUAAGGAGACUAGUGUCAGCCUCUGUACUGAAAAUGAAUUAGGCUUUUUCUUUUUUACAGUUAAGAUCAGCUAUCAAUAGAAAUCGUAAUAUUUUCUUGCAACCCCAGUGAAUCAUGUUUCUUACAUUUGUGCUUGCUCUGGAGAUCUUGUACUGCAUUACACAGGGCUCUCUGCCUUACUGAGUGUUGACCGACCAACAAGCCUCACUGGCUGUACCUCAUCAAAGCUAGAGUAAACGUCUCACCAUGGGCUGGAAAGAAACACCGAAGAUGGCAGAAUAGGCAGCUGGACAAAUUGCAACUGACCAUGGGCUUGUAGCAGGAAGAGGCUGAGGACAAACUCUCCACAACAUGUUGAUAGAUCAGCAGGAAGUCUUGGACAAGUCUGUGCUGAAGAUUAUCCUGUGGACAUGGGGAUAAAGCAAUUGCUCAACUCACAGGCAAGAACAAAAAAGGAAACAAACUUCCAAAUGUUACUUUGGAAUGCAAAAUAUACCGCUGGCUGAGUGAAGGUUCUACAUCCUCAUCUUCCAUGCGUGCCUCAAGCCCACUGCCAUCACACUGAUACGUCAAGUGCUGUAACUCCCUAAACAGCUUUGAUAGGUCACCAACCACCUCCACAUGGCUAAAUGGAAUGGGGACUCCUGGAUCCUCAUUUUACAUGAAGUUUCAGUAUCAUUUGACAUACCUGGCCACUUCCCUCCUGCCUUUCAUUUAGUUUCCAUUAGGACCUGUUCUCCUUGUUUUCCUUCUAUUUUUCUGGCCUUUCCCCCCCCCCCCAUUUUCCUGUACAGGCUCCUCCUCCACCCUAACCUUGAAGUCUGGAUCUCAGUACCUGUUCCUUAGCCCACUUCUUCAUUCAUUAGGUGUUUUCUCCCCUGGCGACCUUAAUCAUAGUCAUGCUCUUUGUUACUGUUUAUAUGGAGAUACUCGCCAAUAUCUUAUCUCUGAUCCAAGUCCUCUCUCCUGAUCUGCACAGUGGAGGAUCUAAAUGCCUGCUGGAUAGCUCACUGGUGCUGCAAACUCAGUAAGUCUAAAGUUGAACUGGAAUUGAAAAAAUACAACAAACUAGUGAAUAUGACGAAAGAGAAGCAGACUCACAGAGAACAAACUACUGGUUACCAGUGGGGAGAGGGAAGGAGAGAGGGGCAAUAUAGUGGUAAGGGAUUAAGAGGUACAAAUUAUAGGGUAUAAAUUAAGCUACAGGGCUUCCCUGGUGGCGCAGUGGCUGAGAGUCCACCUGCCGAUGCGGGGGACGCGGGUUUGUGCCCCGGUCCGGGAAGAUCCCACAUGUCGUGGAGCGGCUGGGCCCGUGAGCCAUGGCCGCUGAGCCUGCGCGUCCGGAGCCUGUGCUCCGCAACGGGAGAGGCCACAACGGUGA